AUUGAACGCUGGCGGCAUGCUUUACACAUGCAAGUCGAACGGCAGCGGGGAGGAGCUUGCUUCUCUGCCGGCGAGUGGCGAACGGGUGAGUAAUACAUCGGAACGUGUCGAGAAGAGGGGGAUAACCACCCGAAAGGGUGGCUAAUACCGCAUAAAUUCUGAGGAAGAAAGCUGGGGACCUAGGAAUAGGCCUAGCGCUUUUUGAGCGGCCGAUGUCGGAUUAGCUAGUUGGUGAGGUAAAGGCUCACCAAGGCGAAGAUCUGUAGCGGGUCUGAGAGGAUGAUCCGCCACACUGGAACUGAGACACGGCCCAGACUCCUACGGGAGGCAGCAGUGGGGAAUUUUGGACAAUGGGGGCAACCCUGACCCAGCCAUGCCGCGUGUAUGAAGAAGGCCUUCGGGUUGUAAAGUACUUUUGUUAGGGAAGAAAAGUCAGCUGUGAAUCAUGGCUGAUACUGACGGUACCUAAAGAAUAAGCACCGGCUAACUACGUG
rnacentral:rRNA from 1 species